rnacentral:rRNA from 1 species
UAGUCAGUAGUGGUAGACGCGAAACCGUGUGAUCUACCCAUGGGCAGGUUGAAGCUGUAGUAACAUACAGUGGAGGACCGAACCGGUUGACGUUGAAAAGUCUUCGGAUGACCUGUGGGUAGGGGUGAAAGGCCAAUCAAACUCGGAAAUAGCUCGUACUCCCCGAAAUGCAUUUAGGUGCAGCGUUGAUAUUAGUUUUAUAGAGGUAGAGCUACUGAUUGGAUGCGGGGGCUUCACCGCCUACCAAUUCCUGACAAACUCCGAAUGCUAUAAAAUAUGAUCAGCAGUGAGGGCAUGGGUGCUAAGGUCCAUGUCCGAGAGGGAAAGAACCCAGACCAUCAGCUAAGGUCCCCAAAUGUAUGUUAAGUUGAAAUAACGCGGUUGAACUGCUUUGACAGCUAGGAUGUUGGCUUGGAAGCAGCCAUUCAUUUAAAGAGUGCGUAACAGCUCACUAGUCGAGCGGUUCGGCAUGGAUAAUAAUCGGGCAUAAACAUACUACCGAAGCUAUGGACU